rnacentral:tRNA from 1 species
GCCAAUGUAGCUCAGGGGUAGAGCACUUCCUUGGUAAGGAAGAGGUCAUGGGUUCAAUUCCCAUCAUUGGCUC